AUUUCAAUGUUAUUAUAUCAGGUGAGUUGGGUUUGGCAGCUGAUGAGGUGCUUGUGCAGUAACUGAACCGACCCGACAAGAGAUGUAGCCGUAGCAGGAGUGGCCUUUGUAUCUCUUUGUUUUUGCAUAUAAAAAGAGGAUUGAAGAGCUUAGGAAUUGACAAGGGCGGCAGUAGAAGAAAGAUGAAGAAGAAGAACAAUUCUAAUCCACCACAUGAGGGAAAAUUAACAAAUUAUUCAAACUUUUGAAUCAAAUUACCAGCAAUUGAGAAGAAAAGAUUAAACUUAAGAAGAAAAAAUCCAUUGAAAAGGCCAAAGGUACACUCUUUCUGCCUCUGCUUCUGUAAGUGUAUUAUGGACCCCUCAAUUAACAAGGAGGAGCAUAUGGAUGUUGAUCAAGUCACUUGUCAUUUUAAUUGCCCUUUCAAGGACGUCAUAAUUAUGGAGAUCCUCUGCAGGUUACCAGUACGCUAUCUUGUUCAAUUCAAAUGUGUUUCUAAAUUGUGGAACGCAUUAAUUUCUGAUCCUUACUUUGUCAACAAGCAUCUCAAUCAUGCCAAGAAUGAUCCACAUGCCCCAAAACUACUUUUAUGCAAAAGUUCCUUUGUGGAUUAUACAACUUCCAUUUAUUCUUGUCCUUUAUCGUCCAUUCAACUGAUUGACAAACUACAAAAUUUGAUCCCCCCUUCAAGCUCUGAAAUCAUAAUCUUUUGUACUUACAAUGCUUGGUUAUUAUCCGUGCUUUUGGUCAAACUAUUCAACAAUCCAUACAUAUGUUGUGGAACCCCUCCACAAGAGAAUCAAUACUACUUCCUCAACCAGAAUUUCCAAUGCAGAAUUAUUAUCGUUUGGAAUUGGGUUGUGACUCAACUAUUGGUGACUAUAUGAUCCUAAAAAUUCACUAUCCCAAAGAGGGAAGCAAAGUACGUGGUGAGAUUCUCACGUUGAGAAGUGGUUCCUGGAGAAAUAUUGACAAAUUUCCUCAUGGAAUUAACAGUUAUUUGUCCGGGGAUUCUGCUUUGCCAUUAGUAAACAAUGCAUUUCACUGGAUCUGUAUGUCUGGAGACUAUUUUGCGGUUUCAAGAACUUUCUCUUUAGUUUCAUUUAGUAUUUCAAAUAAAGUGUACUCAGAGAUACCGUUGCCAGAGCAAGUAGAAUAAUAGAGCUAUGUAUUGCUCCCUUUAUUCUUGGAAGAGAUCAGCAAGCAACGUACACAACAAAGCAGCGUAGAAGAAAGAAAACAAUAGAGAGUAUCUAAGCAAUGUUAGCAGACAUCCUCAUAAAGUGAUAAGUUUGAGGUGAUUUGGAUUUGCGGGAGCAUAGUUUUGAUAUAUAUUGGAAGGGGUGCUUGGAUUAUGAGUUUGAGAUACUAUUGCGGAAGGGGAAACUAGUGGGUGAUGGUCUCUUUGUAAAGAUUCCAUUGCUGAGGUGAGUCUUCCCAUCGAUCGUGGAGGCUUCCAUUCAGCUUUAGAUCUUUUAGAUUACAUUUCUUUUUUGUUGGGUUUGUAUGCCCGAAAGUUGAACUCAUGUAAUCUGUUUAGAUGCUCCAUGAACUUAGUGUGGGGCUUGGGUUAAAGAUUUGUUAUUUAACUAUUUUCGUUUACAUAAAUCGCUAUGCGGUAUCUUGUUGGAUAAUUACCCUACGUUAAUGAUUAUUUCAUGCAUGUGGAGUUGCAUAUGCUUUCAUCUCAGUGGUUGUAGACAAGGUGAAUGUUGGUUCUUCCGGCAAGUGGUGUUAGUGGGAGCCAGUCACGCCUAUGGAGUUUUUUUGGGACGUGACAAUAUGUGAUGCCAUUCAGAAUUUAGUGUUAGCUUAUGUAUGAUCUAGGAACUCUUUUCUUUUUCCAGUCACCAUGUUGUAACCUUGUACUGUUGUUAGUUUAUCAACCAGAGUGAUUUUAUUAAUAAGAAUGGUUAACCCCAUCUUCUCUUUUA